rnacentral:rRNA from 1 species
GUGCCAGCCGCCGCGGUAAUACGUAGGCAGCAAGCGUUGUUCGGAAUUACUGGGCGUAAAGAGUGUGUAGGCGGUGUUCCAAGUCUGGUGUGAAAUCUCCCGGCUUAACUGGGAGGGUGCAUUAGAAACUGGAAUGCUAGAGGAUGGGAGAGGUAAGCGGAAUUCCUGGUGUAGCGGUGAAAUGCGUAGAUAUCAGGAGGAACACCUGUGGUGUAGACAGCUUACUGGACCAUUUCUGACGCUGAGACACGAAAGCGUGGGUAGCAAACAGGAUUAGAUACCCCUGUAGUCC